GUGCUCGCAUUUGAGAACCGAUCAUGCUGAAGCCCACCAUAAUGGCAACCAGGAAGACAGCGAGACAGAGAGCAUAAAUCUGGAAGGGGACACGCAGAAGACGCAAAGAAGGAACAAAGCAAUAAGGGAGAGCAGAUGGCACCAAUAGACAAAGACUCAUCAAGGGCAGGGUCAGAUCUGUCAAGCAUCCCUCCUCCAGAGUUCUUAUCUGGCCUUAAAAAGAAUCUCAAAGGUUUGACAAACACGAUGACGUCAUGAAAUGGGCGGCACACACAAGAAGCCAAAGGCGGUGUCUCAGAGAUCGAGGCAUCUUACUUCCAGGAGACAUCGCUCUGUUCCCUGCAGCUGCACGGGAAGUUUAAUCUGCAUGCUGGAAUUUUGAGGAUGAACCCGGAAUUAGAGGGGGACAACGACCCAUGACCAGGUGAUGGAGCCGCCAUUCCCAGGGUUCACGCAACCGUUGAAAAGUCUGUUUUCUCUUCCUCUGAUGGGUGACCUCGGGAGGAUGAAAGCAUCUGUCAUUAAUGAAUUGGAGCAACAACAAUCCGAGCUGUAAUGAUGUCCAUAUGUCUGACUCUGGCCUUGUGACUGCAGAUACCAGCUGAGUAAAUCCAUACAUCUCUGGGUUCUGGCUCUGGUCUUUACUUUAGGAUCUGUAAGAUAAGCCCCUGAACAUGUAUAGUGCAGGCAGGGGGGAGGAAACAAAGACAAACAGAUGUCCUGGAAUUGCAACCACCUCCGCGUAAUUCAUUAUUUAUGCUUUGGAUUAAAGCUCCCCUCAGCAGCAGCAUCAGUGAUUGGAGUCACCGGUACGUGAACGCACCACAGAAGCAGUACUCACUCUUG